GACGAACGCUGGCGGCGUGCCUAAUACCUGCAAGUUGAGCGCUGAAGGUUGGUACUUGUACCAACUGGAUGAGCAGCGAACGGGUGAGUAACGCGUGGGGAAUCUGCCUUUGAGCGGGGGACAACAUUUGGAAAUGAAUGCUAAUACCGCAUAAAAACUUUAAACACAAGUUUUAAGUUUGAAAGAUGCAAUUGCAUCACUCAAAGAUGAUCCCGCGUUGUAUUAGCUAGUUGGUGAGGUAAAGGCUCACCAAGGCGAUGAUACAUAGCCGACCUGAGAGGGUGAUCGGCCACAUUGGGACUGAGACACGGCCCAAACUCCUACGGGAGGCAGCAGUAGGGAAUCUUCGGCAAUGGACGAAAGUCUGACCGAGCAACGCCGCGUGAGUGAAGAAGGUUUUCGGAUCGUAAAACUCUGUUGGUAGAGAAGAACGUUGGUGAGAGUGGAAAGCUCAUCAAGUGACGGUAACUACCCAGAAAGGGACGGCUAACUACGUG
rnacentral:rRNA from 1 species